AUGAAAUCGAAGAGAAAACUAACAAUUAACGGUUCAGGUUCUGAUGGAUGUCGUAGGUUGGAUGAUGAUUGGCUUGGUACAAAUGUGCGAUUAAUGUCGAACUGUUGUAGACACGAUGCGGGUGCUUUGAUGCAGGUUGUUUGCAGACAGGUCUUGGUUAUGAUUUGGAACAAACAAUUUGGAUUUUGGAUUAUGUUUGGAGGAAGAUUAAUAAAGCUUGGAGAUUAG